rnacentral:rRNA from 1 species
GAUGAACGCUGGCGGCGUGCCUAAUACAUGCAAGUCGAGCGAACAGACGAGGAGCUUGCUCCUCUGACGUUAGCGGCGGACGGGUGAGUAACACGUGGAUAACCUACCUCUAAGACUGGGAUAACUUCGGGAAACCGGAGCUAAUACCGGAUAAUAUAUUGAACCGCAUGGUUCAAUAGUGAAAGACGGUUUUGCUGUCACUUAUAGAUGGCUCCGCGCCGCAUUAGCUAGUUGGUAAGGUAACGGCUUACCAAGGCAACGAUGCGUAGCCGACCUGAGAGGGUGAUCGGCCACACUGGAACUGAGACACGGUCCAGACUCCUACGGGAGGCAGCAGUAGGGAAUCUUCCGCAAUGGGCGAAAGCCUGACGGAGCAACGCCGCGUGAGUGAUGAAGGUCUUCGGAUCGUAAAACUCUGUUAUUAGGGAAGAACAAAUGUGUAAGUAACUAUGCACGUCUUGACGGUACCUAAUCAGAAAGCCACGGCUAACUACGUG